CAGUAUGGAGAUCAGGCCCCAAGCUUAUCAGGAAUUUACAUCUACUGUAGCUGAAAGCAGAAUAGAAAGGGGAAAAAUAGAAAACACACACACACAUACACACACACACAACCAGGCAGGCCCCUGCAACUACUGUGAGAAUGUGCACUUCGAGUUCAUGUCGAAAAAUACACACGCACACAUGUACAGAGCCACAUCAGCUGCACACGAUCAAAUGUCCCGGUUUAUCAAUCCCCCUAAUCUCGAGAGCCAGAACUGUAACUGCAUGUGCAACAGAGCUGCCAAAGGGUUCGCUCAUUUGCUGUAUGUGCCCGCGCUCCCGUGUUUGAAGUUAAUAAAUAUAACAGGCUAUCUGGGUUGGAGAUCAGCUCCCUGUGCUUUAUCAGCCGUUCACAUCUAUCUAACAGCAGAACAAAAGAGAGAAAAAGAGAGCCAGCAGCUGCAUGGAGGUUGCUGUUAUUUUCAUGGCCUUUGACAAGCGCUGAUGGAGGGGGAGGGGAACACCGACAACCUUCAUCGCUCCUGGGAUCAGAUCCUCUAUCGGAGGUGCUCCAACCGCCCCCAGAUACCUGGCUCUGGCCCGGACACAGGGCCUCGAAGCACUCACCACAAGGCUUUUCUGUGACACCAAACACAGGACACACCGGGCACUCCCCCCCUUGCUAUCCCAGCCACCAUCAGCUCCUGCUAACAAUCCACUUUUUAAUGCCAUAAACUCCAGAGACAGCUCAAGUUUAACCCAGACCCAAGACACGACGAGGGCUGGAGGCAGGCGCCGCCAGCACCUUCACGGAAAGGCACGGCCCCCAGGAUUGUUACGCUGCGAGGUAAGGGGUUGCGAUAUGCUGGCUCUUCCCGACCACCUGGGUGCUGAACAUGCACGUCAGGAUGGAAGGGGCUCGCCAACCUCAAAAGCCUCCCUCCGAAAACAAAUGAACGGACCACGAAGUGGUUAAAUAAUAGUCCAGGGCUGAUCCUUGUCUUAUCGCGCUUGGCAAUCGCUGGAGCUCUGAGAUCUCCCUUCUGAGCCUAUCUGCUUUUCACAUCAAGCUGAAGGGGAGGAAGAACAGUCACGGAGGAAGAUAAAAUAAGCAGAUAUGAAUCUGGGGGGAGGUUUUAAUGCUUCAGCUGAGCUGACAGCAGCCUGAGCUCUGGGGAAACAGGUCCGGUUUGUCCAUUACAGGAGUCCGGUUACCAGAACCCCGAUCCAGGCGUACUUCCCUCUCCUCCGGAGAGUGCAGCAGAGCCGGCACCGUGUGCUAUAGGUUUGCAACGACUGUUUUCAUGUUGACACAUACAGGAAGGGUUCCCAGCUUUCAGCUGCUAAUCAGUUUUGGCCAUCAGCAUCAGCCUGAGAUCAGCCUCCCACUUUAUCAUUUCUUCACAUCUCUGAAGAAAGCACAAGAGGAAGGAGAUACAAGCAGCCUUCAGUGCAGCUAAUGCAUUCAGAGCACUGCCCAUCCUGGCAACAUCACAAUCCAUCUUAAGAUCACCUUUUACUCCUGAUUAAGCAGAGUACGCCUCGCAGAGCUGAAAACAGAUGCCCAACAAUGGCUCGGAGAGCCCUGACAACUCCCGCAGACAAACUGGAUGGAAAGUUUAAAAAUCGAGCUUGGCACUGGCGGAGGCUGAAGGGCAGGUUUACAUGUUAUUAGCCGGUCCCCUUCUCAGCAGCGCCUUGGCAGACCUGAAAGGCGCUCACUUCCUGUCACAAAAAGAGUGUGUAUCCCACACACUGAAAUACACUUAUCGCAAGGAAGAUCAGCAUUGUUAUUUCAGCGGCUGAGCGCUCAAUGCAGACGCUACCACUCGCCGCUCUAUUAACUUCAGCUAAUUAAAAUGGGAUCCUUCCAGAGGAGUCCAGCCCGUUUCCUAACUGCCACGGAGAACAGCCCUGCCCAAGGCACGGCCAGCAGAAAGCUGCAGAAGUUGGAGAAAACUUUAAAAAAAAAAAAAUGGAGAGAGAGGCAAAUAGAAGUUAAAAAUACUUCUCUCCCUGCUAAGGUUUGGCACAACUUUAUCAACCCCAUGAUCACCCCAGGCUGGUGAACAGGUAGAUGCAGCUCACUACUGCAAUUACUUCAAGGGGAAGAUAAAGCAGUAUUAUCACACGGUGGCCAGAGUUACUAUCCCCACAUCUCUGCAUUAUCUCUGCCUUAGAUCUACUGGUGGGGCGGGGGCAGGAUGACAAAAUAACUAACCCUGUCCCUGGGAAACGUGCCAGCCGUUUAGAGAAUUUCCCGGGAAUAAGCAACAAUCAUCUCUUUCAUCUCUGCCAGACCUGAAAUCAGAUUCUCCUUGGUUGAUCAAUUUGGAGCCCUGGGAGAACGGAUAAUCCGGAGGCACUCUCAUCAGCCACGGGAGACUUGGACAGAGACAGAAAUAUCAAGUGAUCCAACCGCAGUCUGGAUCGGCUUUUUAUCAGGACAGCGACGGGGUCUUCUCACAGUCUUGUUGGGGCAGGGAAGGGGAACUGGAGGCAAGAGGCAGCAGGGGAGGGAGAACCCCCCUGGGGAGCAUCCUUGGAGAAGGUAUAAAUUAAGAAAGAACCCAGCAAGCCGAGCCGGGAGCCGGAUAAGGUCCCCCCCCACCGCCAGUUAAAGAUCUCCGAAUACUUUGCACCACAUUUUUCAAAAGUCCCCUAGACGAGGAGGCGCUCGAAUGCAAUGGAUGUGAGUCAAAGCCAGAUAAAAUCACAAUUUCAGCCCGUCCCGACAGAGCGAUCUUAUCAGGCCGGGCCUGGCAGAAUGGAAUAUUUUAAAGCUUGAUCUCAACCCUGAUCGGAGGCGGCGGUAUCACACUGAAACAUCUCGGUGGAAGGAGAGAGGGGAAGGAGAAAGGUGGGGGAGGCAAACAAAUAAAUAGGCCAGGCACACACAUGCAAACUUCUCGCGCCCGUGCCAGCCCGGAGGGUGGGCGCUCGGCGCUGCAGGGCAGGGUGCCCAGAAGCAGCUCUCAAAGGGGGAGACGCGCAGGGAGGAGAAGGAGCCGCAAAGCCGCCAGCCUGCUGGGUCCUCCGCUUCCCGGGCGCCGCAGCAGGAGAUGACCGGAGAAAUGGCUUGUUGGAGCUCAACGGGAAGCACGUCGCUGAUGAGCUCUGUGCCCAGAAGUGCGGCGUGCGUGUGUGUGUGUGUGUGCACACAAAAAGCAACACUGCCUUGUUUGCAUUGAUGACAUCACCCUGGCAUUAACGAGCAACCCCAAUUACAAAAGAGCACGCUCCAUCUAGCCAGCCAAAGCGACCCAACAGGAACCACGGAUCAACCAGAACAGCCUGUUGCUUGGGAAGGAUCCGCCGAUAACACGCCUGAGCCCAGCCUGGCACAUAUGAACCAGCCUCCAAAUCGGUGUAUAGGUAGGGACCUACAUAACACGUGGCAAGAUGAAGCUGAUUUUGCGGGCAUUUCCCGGCAGCCCCAUCCCUCGCUGCUGAUUGGAUACCGCCAGUUUUUGCCGUUUCCACGAAAACACAAAUUAAGUUGGUUCCUGUGCAUGCACCUCUUCAAUGUCCCCAUAACCAACCGGAGCAGGCAGCUGGCUAUCAAGUCAGCUGUACUGGUGAACCAGGGAGGAAUCACCACCCGGACACAGGGGGAACAGGUCUUACUCUUUGCACUUGGUGCAAUUAGGGUAGGAAACCUCCAAACCUUCUCGUUCCCAAACCCAGGUGUCAGCAGCUGAUGAGGCCCCUUAUUCCUCCACCUACCCCAUGGCUCUCAGGCCAAUGCAUCCUAUUUCUCCAGCCUAUCUGAGCCAAAUCCAAGCCACGAGCUAUUUCAUCUGAGCCGUUCAGGGCAUGGUGGUAGGGAUGGGGGCAUCUUGCUGACGGGAUGCUGAGCUAUUACUAGGAACAUGAAAUGCAGGUGAUGGUUCUGAGAGCAAGAUGCGUGUGUGUGUGAGUGUGCACACGUGCAUGUGCAUGUGUGUUUCCCUGCUCAAGUCCUGUUUGCAGAGAGAUUGUUAUAAGGGAACAGAAUAAAUAGACUGUUUUCCAGAGGAGUGAAUUACAUGCCUGCAGUGCAGAGAUAAUAUGCAAGCAGCCGAGGUUCCUAUUGUGAGCGAGGUGACAUCUUUUUAUGGAGCUGUGUACAUUUGUAUUAGUGCCAAUUAAUCUGUGGUGAUAUUAGUAGAGACACAGGGAGAGAGCGAGAGGGAGAAUGUGCUGGCGGAGGAAUGUAAAUGGGGGGAAGAGAGGAGGCGAUGUCUCGGCCUCGUACAGUGGUGGUGGGGGGCAGCCCCGUCCAUCAGGCUGAGCUCCCUGGAUGCAUUUUGGAGCGUGGGUGCAGUGAUUUCCUUUGGACCCCAAAGCUGGAUGUGGCAGCAGGAUGGUUCCUGCCACGGGCUGCUGGCAAGCCUUGCCUAUGCCAAGGCAGCUGCCCAUUCCUAGCUAGCACGGUCUCCCUGCUUGGGCUCCUAUUAGGUACAGGAAGGGGGCCGAUAGCCCCACUUGCUUUCCAGGAUGGGUGUCACAAGAGCAUGAGCCGAGCUGAGUUCCCCACCUCUGGGCCAGGGGCAUUUCACAGCCCCACGCCUGCAUCCUGGUCUCACAAGCAGCUCUGCUGGGACUUCUCCUCCGUGUGCAACCCAAGGCCAGGCAUGAUGCAGAAAGUGCUGCCACCUCCCGGCCAGGCUACUGCGAGAUGUCUGGGCUCCUUGUUUUAAAGGCUGGACAAUCCACCUCCCGGGAGCGCAGUACGCCCCUCUCUGUUUGCAGCAAUUGCCUUACUCGAAUCCCUCGCCCUUCCCCAAAGGCCCAAGGAUGCUCAACAGGGGACACCGUGACAGUCUCACUGCCAAUGAAAAACAGGUGCUCUGCUAAAGCCAAGAUACUGCAAACUCCUUGGAGCAUUUUAGAUGCUGGCAUCGGGGCUCUGCCGUACCUCAGGUGACUGUGAUCUCAUUCAGAGGGAAAAAAGCAACCUCUUGGUGACUGAUAAUAAGCCCCUUUGGUGGGUGUCUGGAGCUGCUGCCCAGGCUGAAGGAACCGGAGAGCUCCAGGAAAAUGCAGGACAGCUCCAAAAGAGCAGUGGCAGCGUCACUUUUGCUGCAGGAAAUGCAUGCGGCCGUAGGGGCAUGCUGGUGCCCGUGUAGUGCCCAAACCUAGCACCGAGUUUGCCGAGGCAGUUUUUCUCCCGAUUCAAUUGCAUCCAUAGAGGGACUGUGGCAGACAAGUCCCGAAUCGUGCAGUCCAGCUGGCAUCACCCAUCACAUCCGCUCCAGGCUAGUGACAGCUUCUCCCGAGGAGCUAGGUGGAAGUAUCGCUGUGUUGAAUGGAGAGGCAGCAGUGUAGAGCCAGAGCUUGCCCCACUCUCCCCUUGCUUGGCCAUCUCCCAGGCACCCUCCCUGGCAGUGUGAGGUCUGCCCAGACCCCGAGUGAGACCUGGGUUGGCAAGGGACAUGAUGCCAGCAAGCAGCAGAGGCCCUGAGGCUGUCUGCUGCCUCCUUUGGCCCUCUGGCUCUCCCAGGCCCAGCCAGGGUGUCUUCUUGGAGCUAAGCAAGUCUGGAGGGUGCUCCCAGGUGUUUCUCUCCUGUACGUAGCAGCUUUCCCUUGUCUUCUAACAUUGGCCAAAGGCAAUGUCUCUUCCAUGCUGCAGCCAGCCCCUUGCAUUCCUGGAGGCCCGUACACUUCUCUCCCGGAGCAAUGCCACUCAACCGGCAGGGAGACAUCCCCCUUGCAGGUCUCCCCCUGCUUUCAUCUGCAUUUAGCCCUACAGCCAGCAGACAUGCACUGUGUGCUCACAUCAGCACAGAAUAACUACCGCCCUGGGUCAACCUAUAGGGUCACCUUGUCCUGGGACUCUGAGUGUGGAAGGGGAGAGCAUUUGUUCCUCCAUCGUCAGACACGUGCAGCUUUUACCCAUGCAACUCUUGCAGGUAUAGAUGGGUUCCCCUCCGUUGUCUCCUGCCUGAUUUAUUCAUCUGAUCACAGCAUCGCCUCGUAGGGACAGAAGAGAUGCAUUUUCAGAUGUGAGCCACGAUAGUCGAGAUUAGGUACUCAGCCUCUUGUGGCUUCACGUUCAAAGGUGCUGAGUGCUGACAACUUCCAUGGGCUUUAUCAGCAGUGAUGGGCGCUCAGUUGACUCUAUGGGGGUCACCCCUGGGGGCUUAAGGGUGAGGACUGGCUCCUGUUUCCCUCGUCGGCUGAGUGUGUGGAGGGGGGAAUAAGAGCGAGAUUAAAAUGACUAAUUUGGAACAAAGGUCCAGUUUUAACUCCAGAGCAUAUAUAAGUCUCCUCAAAUAAAAUCUUUAGCCCUUGAUGGCAGCUUGACAACCAUGGCACAUCUCUUUAUGCUCCAUGCGUUACGGAGAAGCUUAAGGGCCUGCAGCUAGAAGCGGGAGGCGGGCGGCUUAAGAGGCAGGUCAGCUGAAUUUUGCACACACUUUUGGGAGCAGGCCGGUGGUGUAACAAGGCUGGGCCUUCUAGGUGAGGAGAAAACUCCCCCCAAAGGUCAACCUUCCUGUUAUUCAGCAGCCCGUUCAUUUACCUAUUUGCAAGCAUUUCGGCCGUGUGAAGCUUCAUGGGAUGGGAUGUUUGUGGAAAGGAAAAGCAACAUAGAUACACCUCUCCACCCCAAAAGGCUCCGGUGAUGCAGCUGGAAAGGCCA